AGGAAGAUGAUGAUUCAUUUGACAACGUUAAAUGUGCUUCUGAAUCUAAUAGAGGUUUAAGUGGAAAGCAUGAUGGCAUCAAUCAACAUGAGGAAUUUACUCCAAACAUCCAUGUCGAAAAGAUGAAAGAAUCUAAUCCACCACAGACAGAGAUUGGCACUCAGCUUUCGAAGGACCCUGACGUGACUAGCUCAAGAAUUCAACCUGAAGAGAAAAUUUUCGAGGCAAUGGUGAUUAAAGAGACUACGGUUGAAGAUAAUGAUUCAUGUGUGCUUAAGAAACGUGUCACGAAACAAAGAAAAUUCCAGAAGAAA
rnacentral:misc_RNA from 1 species